rnacentral:rRNA from 1 species
UGGGGAAUCUUGGGCAAUGGGCGGAAGCCUGACCCAGCCAUGCCGCGUGCAGGAAGACGGCGUUAUGCGUUGUAAACUGCUUUUAUCCGGGAAGAAAAAGGCACUGCGGUGCCAACUGACGGUACCGGAUGAAUAAGCACCGGCUAACUCCGUGCCAGCAGCCGCGGUAAUACGGAGGGUGCAAGCGUUGUCCGGAUUUAUUGGGUUUAAAGGGUGCGUAGGCGGCCCUGUAAGUCAGCGGUGAAAGUUUCCGGCUCAACCGGGGGACUGCCGUUGAUACUGUGGGGCUUGAGUGCCGAUGGGGUACAUGGAAUUUAUGGUGUAGCGGUGAAAUGCAUAGAUACCAUAAGGAACACCGAUAGCGAAGGCAUUGUACUUAUCGGCAACUGACGCUGAGGCACGAAAGCGCGGGUAGCGAACAGGAUUAGAUACCCCCGUAGUCC